rnacentral:lncRNA from 1 species
CAAGACAAGAACAAAAAGAUAGGUAAAAUAUCAAAACAUACAUAGAAAUGCAACACAUAGCAAAUAAUAUUAUGCGUCCUCAUGGGGUCGUGAACCCCCUUUGACUAUGAAUGAGACAGACAUUCAACGCAUCAAGGGUGCUAAGACAUCCUAGGUUGAAUGAGACAAAUAUUCCUUAGUAAAAGAAAUAUGUAGCCAAGAUCUAAAGGACAAGAGUGGGUUUAUGACAUGGUCCCUUCAAGUGGACAACUCAAGAGUGAGAAAGCUUGUGACUGUCGAUGCACCACUGAUCGACUGAUACACAAGGUAUUUUCCAAAGGGUGUUUUAGGAAAGAACGUCCAUGCAACCAGGCAACCGUUCAUAAAAUAAAAUAAAGGAGGUUCCAAGUGGAGGUAAGUAUAAGUAGAAUGCCAAUUAUAUAAAGCAGCAACAUAUAACACAUAAGAAAAUACCAUAACAUGCUUAGCAAUAGAAAAGUAAAUAAACAUUAAAGAACAUAACCAACAAAAGGGGA